rnacentral:rRNA from 1 species
UACAGAGGGGGCAAGCGUUAUUCGGAAUUAUUGGGCGUAAAGGGCGCGUAAGCGGCUUUGCAAGUGACGGGUGAAAGCCCUCGGCUUAACCGAGGAACUGCCUGUCAGACUGUGAGGCUUGAGACCGGGAGAGGUGAGUGGAAUUCCCAGUGUAGCGGUGAAAUGCGUAGAUAUUGGGAGGAACACCAGUGGCGAAGGCGGCUCACUGGACCGGAACUGACGCUGAGGCGCGAAAGCGUGGGGAGCAAACAGG